rnacentral:rRNA from 1 species
UACAGAGGUCCCAAGCGUUGUUCGGAUUUACUGGGCGUAAAGGGUGCGUAGGUGGUCGGGUAAGUCUCAUGUGAAAUCCCGCAGCUUAACUGCGGAACGGCAUGGGAUACUAUUCGGCUCGAGGAUUGGAGGGGGGACUGGAAUUCCCGGUGUAGCAGUGAAAUGCGUAGAUAUCGGGAGGAACACCAGUGGCGAAGGCGGGAUCCUGGGCCAGUACUGACGCUGAGGAGCGAAAGCGUGGGGAGCAAACAGG